rnacentral:rRNA from 1 species
UCGGGGGGCGUGCUUACACAUGCAAGUCGAGCGGAAGGCCCCUUCGGGGGUACUCGAGCGGCGAACGGGUGAGUAACACGUGAGCAACCUGCCCCUGACUCUGGGAUAAGCCUGGGAAACUGGGUCUAAUACCGGAUACGACCACCGAUCGCAUGGUCUGGUGGUGGAAAGUUUUUUCGGUUGGGGAUGGGCUCGCGGCCUAUCAGCUUGUUGGUGGGGUAGUGGCCUACCAAGGCGACGACGGGUAGCCGGCCUGAGAGGGCGACCGGCCACACUGGGACUGAGACACGGCCCAGACUCCUACGGGAGGCAGCAGUGGGGAAUAUUGCGCAAUGGGCGGAAGCCUGACGCAGCGACGCCGCGUGGGGGAUGACGGCCUUCGGGUUGUAAACCUCUUUCAGCAGGGACGAAGUUGACGUGUACCUGCAGAAGAAGCGCCGGCUAACUACGUGCCAGCAGCCGCGGUAAUACGUAGGGCGCAAGCGUUGUCCGGAAUUAUUGGGCGUAAAGAGCUCGUAGGUGGCUGGUCGCGUCUGCCGUGAAAGCCCGCAGCUUAACUGCGGGUCUGCGGUGGAUACGGGCCGGCUAGAGGUAGGUAGGGGCAAGUGGAAUUCCUGGUGUAGCGGUGAAAUGCGCAGAUAUCAGGAGGAACACCGGUGGCGAAGGCGGCUUGCUGGGCCUUACCUGACGCUGAGGAGCGAAAGCGUGGGGAGCGAACAGGAUUAGAUACCCUGGUAGUCCACGCUGUAAACGUUGGGCGCUAGGUGUGGGGGUCUUCCACGAUCUCCGUGCCCGGAGCUAACGCAUUAAGCGCCCCGCCUGGGGAGUACGGCCGCAAGGCUAAAACUCAAGGAAUUGACGGGGGCCCGCACAAGCGGCGGAGCAUGUUGCUUAAUUCGACGCAACGCGAAGACCUUACCAAGGUUUGACAUCACCCGGACCGCCCUCAGAGAUGGGGUUUCCCUUUUUGGGCUGAGUGACAGGUGGUGCAUGGCUGUCGUUCAGCUCGUGUCUUGAGAUGUGGGUUAAGUCUCGCAACGAGCGCAACUCCUUGCUCCAUGUUGCCAGCCACCUUCUUCGGAGGUUGGGGGACUCAUGGAGUGGA